GAAACCUAAAACAACGAAAGCCCUACCUCUCUUCCAUCCUUGCGGCUCCGAAGACCGCGCCAGUGUGAUCCGGAUAUCAAAGCAUAUG
rnacentral:sRNA from 1 species